GCGACCUCACCACGAAGAGGUGAAGGAGUAGGAUUUCCUUUGGAGGGUCCUGUCUGUUUAUUUCAGUUACACCAUGGUCAUUUUAUAAGUUCCAUACGAAUAUUUUAGGGUGUUUGCCAUUGAGCUCUGUUUACCGGGGAAUACUAGAGAGGUCUUGUUUUCUUGUAGGAGGUCUUUGACAGAUGAGGAGAACAUUGAAGCUGCCUAAGAAGGUCGCAGCUGGAAGGAAGGCUUGAGCUGCCAGCAGGCCAGUAGCGGAUCCUGCUGAACAAGGCAGCAGUGGACUGUGGCUAACUGAAACCAAGAGAAGUUAAAGCCCAGGGGAUGACCGCACCUGAUGAGUUACACAUUUGACCACGAGUGAAGACUCCAAUGCACUUUCUCAUGAUGAUCCUUCCUGCUGGUGGUCCCCUAGUGAAGCAAUCUGAAAUGGACCCAGAACACAGUUUGGGACAACAGACACCGUCGCUGUCUCUAUUCUCCUGUCCAGCUAAUGACAUAUGGAUCUAGAUGGCAUAUGGAUCUGACCCCUGCUGGCUGUAUGACCUCAAGACAGCAAUAUCCCCCCGUCUGCCUUUGAUUUCUCAUCUUUAAAAUGAAUCUAUAACAGUAUUUUUUCAUGUAAUGAUGGCAAUGAAAAUCCCUACAGUGAGUUACACAUUUGAACACGAGUGGAGACUCCAAUGCACCUUCUGGCGAUGAUCCUUCCUGCCGGUGCUCCUGCCAAUGUCUGGUUCUAGAAGAACCCCUUUGCUGGGGAGACAUUACUAUAGAAGCUUUUAAAAAAAUGUGCUAGGUAUAUUGGCUACUGCAGAGGUGUCAUUAGGCUCUGGGGUUUAGUGCUUUGGACAUCUGGUAGGUGUGAUGGCUGCAGUCCACCGCUGUGUUCA